CCUGCCGCGUGAGUGAGGAAGGCCUUAGGGUUGUAAAGCUCUUUACCCGCGACGAUGAUGACGGUAGCGGGAGAAGAAGCCCCGGCUAACUUCGUGCCGCAGCCGCGGUAAUACGAAGGGGGCGAGCGUUGUUCGGAUUUACUGGGCGUAAAGGGCGCGCAGGCGGCUUAUUUUGUCAGGCGUGAAAGCCCCGGGCUUAACCUGGGAACUGCGUUUGAUACGGAUGGGCUAGAGUUCGGGAGAGGAGAGUGGAAUUCCCAGUGUAGAGGUGAAAUUCGUAGAUAUUGGGAAGAACAUCAUUGGCGAAGGCGGCUUCCUGGUCCAAUACUGACGCUGAGGUGCGAAAGCGUGGGGAGCAAACAGGAUUAUAUACCGACGCUGAGGAGCGAAAGCGUGGGUAG
rnacentral:rRNA from 1 species